AACGAACGCUGGCGGCAGGCUUAACACAUGCAAGUCGAGCGCCCCGCAAGGGGAGCGGCAGACGGGUGAGUAACGCGUGGGAAUCUACCCAUCUCUACGGAAUAACGCAUGGAAACGUGUGCUAAUAACGUAUACGUCCUUCGGGAGAAAGAUUUAUCGGGGAUGGAGGAGCCCGCGUUGGAUUAGCUAGUUGGUGGGGUAAAGGCCUACCAAGGCGACGAUCCAUAGCUGGUCUGAGAGGAUGAUCAGCCACACUGGGACUGAGACACGGCCCAGACUCCUGCGGGAGGCAGCAGUGGGGAAUAUUGGACAAUGGGCGCAAGCCUGAUCCAGCCCUGCCGCGUGAGUGAUGAAGGCCCUAGGGUUGUAAAGCUCUUUCACCGGUGAAGAUAAUGACGGUAACCGGAGAAGAAGCCCCGGCUAACUUUGUGCCAGCAGCCGCAGUAAGAC
rnacentral:rRNA from 1 species